CGAUGGCCCACACAACAGCGAUAGAAAAAAAGAAACGGCUCACUGGAACGUGUAGAGCGCGUUGGAUUAAAUUGGACGGCAUCCAAGUGGUGUGGCGUUUUUGCAAUGAACACCCUAUCAAAGCCAAAUUGGAGACAGAAGAAACCGUCGAUAACCUUGCAUGUACGCCUUGACAAAAUAUUGCAUGAAAAUAAAGCAGAUUCUCAUCUAAUGCCGAGAGAGACGCCUUGGCAAUAUCUAUUGGAGUCUUAGUCAUGGUUAUUGGGUUAGGGCCGUGCGUUAUUUUCUUUUCCCGUUGCAACGCACAUGCUCUUUUGCUAGUAAAAUAAAAAAAAUCAACACCCUUUCGCUUUCGCCGCUCUAUCGCCAUCGCUCCCCGCUCCCCGGCGAGUCGCAACUCAACCAUUCUCACCGGAAGACGGACGUGCCUCCUCCUACUCGCACGCGGCCGUGCUCGCUCCGUUCCACGCGCACGCUGGCAUCUACUCGUAUUCCUCUGACGCAAUGCCGGCCUUUUGUGCCCAGCGCCGGCCUCCUUGGCAGCAGCGCGCCUAGGCCGUUCGGCGGAAUGCCGACCCGGGUGUCUUUUCUUGGACCGCGACGGUUGCCGUCGAGAAGCCGGAUCAGCUCGUAGAAGAAGCUUCGGAAGAACUCUGAUGCGUAUCUAUACGCCGGAGGGGCGAGCUCCUGUGUGAGGCCCGUGGUUUCUUUGCCACCUGCCCACGUGAAUCCUUCGACAUGGAAAAGGCAUCUUUUGAAAAAGAAACAGUUGGUGAAGAUUUGCAGAAUAUUCGGCUGGCGAGAUGGUACACAGGCGAUCAUUUCAGCAAGGCCAUUGCAAACGAGAGUGAUCAUCGGCGUCUCAAUCAGGGUGUGGACAAGACCAUUUGAGUGGAGGACAAGAAGAAGUGCAAUUUUGUUCCUUAAUGGACGGGGUGGAUGGUUGACCUGCUGGGUGAUCAUCUCUUCUCUCUUCCAUCCUCUUGAUUUACUUACCCUUAUCACCUUAUCACGUGAGCUUUGUCUGAUGUUUACGUUUGCUGUUGUUUUCCGUUCUCCACUGGCGCACUGUUGUGCACCAUGGAAUGUGUCUGUCGUCUUAAUUCGGAACUUGGUAGCGUGUGAGCUCUGGCACUGGCAGGCCGGCUGGUUCAUCACUCUCCUCUGAUGCUGAUCAGCUUGUGGUUGUGGGAA